UUAGGAGACACAUAAGGUGUGAUUCACACCUCUGAGCACGUGUAUUAAUACUAACCAGUCCUCUGACUGGUAGCUAGCUAUUCAUCCCUGGGUUCUCAAGUAUCCAGUAACAUCCUUUUAUGGACAACAGCUUUAGUGAACAAGUUGCUAACCAACUUCCUAGAGAAUGGGACAUCAUCAGACAAAAACUGACAUAUUUUGAAAGAAGAAAGACAGCACAGCCCUCGGUCUCAGAUCUUAUGAAUAAAUUUUCCUUCUUUGAAACUUCACGAAGUGGCCUAUUCAUGAAUCGAGUUCAAGAGAAUCGUCAGUAUUGAAAAAGAUGUGAGUGUCCAAUCGAUCAUUAAUGGAGAACUGGGACUCAUGGAUUAUUGCAUAUUCUAAGUUGGAGAUGGCGACAAGAAUUCAGACGAUCUUUGUGCCAGACCAGUACAGACUGUAUUUUCUAUGUGAUGUUGAACAAGAGCCAACGUGCGAGCUAAGUGUAUUCUUUGGACUCAACGAACAAAAUUGAACCCUUUGGCACAUGUAUAAUUAUAAUCUCAUUUUAGUGCUGCUAUGAUGUUUUGUUUCUUUGCUGCUAUACUUUUGUGGAUGUGUUUUAACUUGAUACAGCUGUGA